rnacentral:tRNA from 1 species
AUCUCAGUAGCAUAGUGGUUAAUGCACAGCCCCGGAUAGGUUGAAGCGCUGGUUCGAAUCCCGCCAGAGAUG